CCUACGGGAGGCAGCAGUAAGGAAUAUUGGUCAAUGGACGCAAGUCUGAACCAGCCAUGCCGCGUGAAGGAUUAAGGUCCUCUGGAUUGUAAACUUCUUUUAUCUGGGACGAAAAAAGGCGAUUCUUCGUCACUUGACGGUACCAGAUGAAUAAGCACCGGCUAACUCCGUGCCAGCAGCCGCGGUAAUACGGAGGGUGCAAGCGUUAUCCGGAUUCACUGGGUUUAAAGGGUGCGUAGGCGGGCAGGUAAGUCAGUGGUGAAAUCCUAGAGCUUAACUCUAGAACUGCCAUUGAUACUAUCUGUCUUGAAUAUUGUGGAGGUAAGCGGAAUAUGUCAUGUAGCGGUGAAAUGCUUAGAUAUGACAUAGAACACCUAUUGCGAAGGCAGCUUACUACGCAUAUAUUGACGCUGAGGCACGAAAGCGUGGGGAUCAAACAGGAUUAGAUACCCUGGUAGUCCACGCCCUAAACCGAUGAUUACUCGACAUUGUGAUACACUAUAAGUGUCUGAGNGAAGANAUAGUAUACACCGGACGACGACGCGAGUAGAAGACGAAGAAGUAGAGCGAGAGACGNGCCGACGGACGACGACGAGGGAGAGG
rnacentral:rRNA from 1 species